AGGGGUCUCUGCCCCACACACUGACCCACACAUUGCCCCAUAUAUCACCCCCAACCCCACAUAUGGGUCUCUGCCCCCCUCCCCGCCCCACAUAUCACCCCCAGCCCCACAUAUGGGUCUCAGCCCCACACACUGCCCCACACAUUGACCCACUUAUGGGGCAGCCCCACAUAUUGACCCACAUUGACCCACAUAUGGGUCUCAGCCCCACAUUGACCCACUUAUGGGGCAGCCCCACACUUAUGGGUCCCAUUGCCCCCUUACCCACCUCAUUUGUUCCCUGUUCUCCCUCUUCCUCUUCACAUUUUCCUCCUGUUUCCUUUUUCUCUCCUCUUUUUCUUUCAGUUUCUUUUCCCUUUUUUCCAGCAGUUCCCGAAGCUCCGACUCCGACUUGUGAACUAUGGGGGGAAAUGGGGCUUGUUAUCGACCUGCCAGGACCCGAACAGCCAUUCCAAGGCUCUUUAUGGACCUGCCAGGACCCGAACAGCCAUUCCAAGGCUCUUUAUGAACCUUCCAGGACCUUCCCAACCCAUUCAAUGCCCCUUUCCCCUUCCAGGACCUGUCCUUACCAUAGCAGUGAUACAGGACCCCACCCCCAUCCCAGUGACCUUCCAGUGGUCCAUAAAGAGCAUUGGAAUGGUUGGAAGGUCCUGGAAGGGCAAAAGAAUGAGGGGUUGGGAAGGUCCUGGAAGGUUAAAGAGCCUUGGAAUGGCUGGGUGGUUGGAAGGUCUGGAAGCUUAAAGGGUCCUUGGGGUUAUUGGGGUGGGUUGGGAAGGUCCUGA
rnacentral:lncRNA from 1 species